rfam:Puccinia triticina 1-1 BBBD Race 1 supercont2.3167, whole genome shotgun sequence.
GUGUACUUAGCUCAAUGGUUAGAGCAUCACUCUUGAAUGCUGAGUAUGUGAGCUUGACUCUCAAAGUACACA